rnacentral:lncRNA from 1 species
CAGACUUUAAAGUUCAGCCCUCUACUUUCCCCUAGGUUAUUAAAAUGACAAAAACCUCUCCUUUAAGCAACAUUAAGAUUCACACAUCUAAGCUUUCCUCUUCACAGCGAAAAGCAAUGCUGUCUGGAUCUAAAGAGGUAGAAGUAGGGCUGGAGAGAUGGCUCAGAGGUUGGGAGAGCGCUGAUUGCUCUUCCAGAGGUCCUGAGUUCAAUUCCCAGCAACCACAUGGUGGCUCACAACCACCUGCGAUGAGAUCUGGUGCCCUCUUCUGGUGUGCAGGCAUGCAUGGGGGCAGAAUGUUGUAUACAUAGUAAAUAAAUAAAUCUUAAAAAAAAAAGUAGAAUGGGAAAAGGAUGAGAACCAUGGCUGCUAGCUGUGAGCAUCCCGCCGAGCCAACGGUAAUAUAGCUAGCAAGCAGGGUGACUUGGGAAUUGGUCUGUGGUCUGCACAAGCAGUGUAUCAGAGUGUAAGCUGCCUGUUAGAACCCGACUUUGUAGAUCUUGCCAGUCCUCAGGUGUGCCCCAACACUCAAAGAAAGGAUGCUUUAUCCUUUUGAGAAUACAAACAUAGAGCAAAGGAUUACCAGUAUACAAUCCACACUGCCAGAGGAGCUAGGAAACAAGGACGACCCCAAGAGAAGAUUGCAUAGUCCCUCGAAGAAGAGCCUUCAUCCAGUUGCUGUUUGAAGCAGAAACAGGCACCCACAGCUAAGCACUGAACCAUACUCCUGGAAUCCAGUUGUCGAGAGGGAGGAGGGAUGAGCAAAGGAGCCAAGAUGGUGCUGCAGAAACCCACAGAAACAGUUGACCUGACCUAGUGAGAGCAUGGAGACUCUAGUCAUAAAGCUGGGGAAAUAGCAUUGGACCAAACCAAG